AAAUUWWUMWAAUWAAUUUUUUAAAAUAAAUAAAUGAAUUAUUUUUUCAAAUCAAUUAAUGAAUUAUUYWUUGAUUUUUGGUAUAUGUUMUYUCUCRCUCGCACWYAKUGRYWGACUUUUUAAUAAAUGUUUGAAUUAAGAAUAAAAAAUUAAUAUAAGUAGAUUUAAUUUAUUGUAUCUUGUGUAUCAGAGUUUAAAAAAAAAUAUAAAGAUUUUAAAUUUCUCGAAAAAAAUUAAGAGAUAAAAAUUAAAUUUUUAUUAAUGUAAAAAAAUUAUAAAAAAUUAAUUUUUAGAAAUUAAAAGUUAUUCGUUUUUUUUUAUAUCUAGUUAUUUAAGAAAUAAAUUUAAUUUAAUUUUUAUUUUGUAUAUGUAUAUAAGUUUUAAAUAUAAUUAGAUUAAUAAUAAGUUUUAAGAAGUUAUAGAAAAAUUUUUAUAAUAUAAAUAAAAUUAAGUAAAUAUAGGGUUAAGCUUAUAUUUAAAAUUUUAAAUUUUUAAAAUUUGAUUUGAAUAUAAAUUGGAWUWAAUUUAUUAAAAUUAAAAAUUUAUUAAAUAAUUAAUAAAAAUAUGAAUUAUUAAGUUUAAAUGUUAAAAUUAGUAUAAUAAUUGGUUAAAUUUAAGAUUUAAAUAAUAAAUUAAAAUUAAUGAAUUAGGCAAAAAUUUAAUUAUAAAUUAAUUAAAUUAUUUCACUUGUUUAACAAAAACAUGUCUUUUAGAAAAAUUAAAUUUAAAGUCUGAUCUGCCCACUGAAAUUAAAAUUUAAAGGGCUGCAGGAUUUAACUGUACAAAGGUAGCAUAAUAAAUUGUUUUUUAAUUGAAAACUAGAAUGAAAGAUUUAAUGAAAAUAAUACUGUAUAAAUUUUAUUUUUAGAAUUUAUUUUUUUUGUAAGAAAACAAAAAUAUUUUAGAAAGACGAGAAGACCCUUUAGAUUUUAAUUAAUGAUAAAAUUAAAAAUAAUUUAUUUGAAUAUAUUUAAUURAUYAWUAAAUUUAAUUAACUUUAUUUAAAUAUAAUGAAAAAUUUUAAUUAGAGAAUUUUAAUUUUAAAAAUGAUUUAGUUUUAUGGAUUAUAUGAUUAAAUUACCUAAGGGAUAACAGCGUUAUUUAAAUUUUUAGUUCUUAUAAAAAUUUAAGUUUGCGACCUCGAUGUUGGAUUAAGAUUAUUUUAAAUUGCAGAAAGUUUAUAUUUUAGUCUGUUCGACUAUUAAAAUCUUACAUGAUCUGAGUUCAAACCGGUGUAAGCCAGGUUGGUUUCUAUCUUUUAAGAAAAAAAAAAUUAUUUUAGUACGAAAGGAUUGAAUAAUUAAAAUAAAAAAUUUUUAUAGUUUUGAAUUUAAGUAAAUUUUUAAAUUUUAAAAAGAGUAAAAUAA
rnacentral:rRNA from 1 species